AUUGAUUUUUUAUGGGUUAAAGUAAGAGAUUUUUUUUAGAAUGCUCGUGAACUUCUCUUCUCUCCUCCAGCAGGUUGCUGAAACCCAUAGCCAAGAUUUCAAUAAAACUAGCAAUCCGAACAAUCUAAAAGGAAAGGACAAAGCUUGUGACUAGUAUUAUCGUAUACAAGUUCUUAAGUGAGGCAAAGGUUCUAGUAAGGAUAAGUACGAUCGGUAAGGAGCUAUCGGAG